rnacentral:tRNA from 1 species
GGGGGUGCAGCUCAGUGGUAGAGUGCUUGCCUAGCAUGUGCGAGGCCCUGGGUUCAAUUCCCAGCACCACCA